UGGGGAAUUUUGGACAAUGGGGGAAACCCUGAUCCAGCCAUCCCGCGUGUGCGAUGAAGGCCUUCGGGUUGUAAAGCACUUUUUGCAGGAAAGAAACGUCAUGGGUUAAUACGCCGUGAAACUGACGGUACCUGCAGAAUAAGCACCGGCUAACUACGUGCCAGCAGCCGCGGUAAUACGUAGGGUGCAAGCGUUAAUCGGAAUUACUGGGCGUAAAGCGUGCGCAGGCGGUUCGGAAAGAAAGAUGUGAAAUCCCAGAGCUCAACUUUGGAACUGCAUUUUUAACUACCGGGCUAGAGUGUGUCAGAGGGAGGUGGAAUGCCGCGUGUAGCAGUGAAAUGCGUAGGUAGGCGGAGGAACACCGGUGGCGAAGGCAGCCUCCUGGGAUAACACUGACGCUCAUGCACGAAAGCGUGGGGAGCAAACAGG
rnacentral:rRNA from 1 species